UCAAAAUAGCGAAGGUUUAAGGUGAGAGGCGCGCUCCCGGUUACAGGUAUCCGUGGUCAUUCUUCUGAAUCUCUAGAAAUCGGACUCAGGCGCUCCUCUCUUUGGGGCUCCUCGCAGGCGACUGCAUUUGCUGCGCGGCGCGGCCAGGCGGGUCCUUAGCGCCGGCACCGUCGCCCUCGGCAUCCCACAGCGCGCAGCGCAGCCACCGCUCUUCUCUCCCACCUGCUCCGUGCAGAAGGGAAGAAGAGCCAGUCGAGCUGGAGGUCCAGCCAGCCCUUGGCCUCCAAGAAGGAAAAGGACGGCGCUGAGAAGCGAGGUGGGGGCAGCUCCACGUCCGAAGGAGCCCAGCACGUGCUAACACCUAAGACCCUGGGCAACCGAAAGGAAGCAAACCCCAGGAUGCUGCCACGACCCGGAAAACCACCACAGCUCCAGGAGGGAAAGCAAAGGGCCGGCCCAAAACACUGGGAAGGAGGAAGAGGGAGCAUCUCUCGGGAGUCCU
rnacentral:lncRNA from 1 species